CCCUUAGAUGUUCUGGGCCGCACGCGCGCUACACUGAUGCAUUCAACGAGCCUAUCCUUGACCGACAGGUCCGGGUAAUCUUUGAAUCUGCAUCGUGACGGGGAUAGAUUAUUGCAAUUAUUAAUCUUCAACGAGGAAUGCCUGGUAGGCGCAAGUCAUCAGCUUGCGUCGAUUACGUCCCUGCCUUUUGUACACACCGCCCGUCGCUCCUACCGAUUGGGUGUGCUGGUGAAAUGUUCGGAUCGGCCGUUUGUCACGGUUUCCGCGUCAUGUGGCUGAGAAGUUCAUUAAACCCUCCCACCUAGAGGAAGGAGAAGUCGUAACA
rnacentral:rRNA from 1 species